AGCGGACUUGGAGGAUUAUAAUGUAACAAGAGCUUGUUCAAAUACUGAGGUGCUAAACCAUUCAGGGCUUUAUAAGUAAUAAGCAAGAUUUUAAAAUCUAUACGAUGUUUAAUAGGGAGCCAGUGCAGUGUUGACAGAACUAGGCUAAUAUGGUCAUACUUCCUGGUUCUAGUAAGAGUUUGUUUACUAAGUGUGCAGAACAAACACCCAAUAAAGCAUUACAAUAAUCUAACCUUGAGGUCAAAAAUGCAUGGAUUAACAUUACUGCAUUUGACAUUGAAAGCAUAGGCCGUAAUUUAACUUUAAUAUUUUUGAGAUGGAAAAAUGCAGUUUUACAAAUGCUAGAAAAGUGGCUUUCUAAGUAAAGGUUGCUAUCAAAUAGCACACCUAGGUUCCUAACUGAUGACGGAGAAUAGACAAAGCAGCCAUCAAGUCUUAGACAGCAUUCUAGGUUAUUACAUGCAGAGCUUUUAGGUCCUAUAAUUAACACCUCUGUUUUUUCAGAAUUUAGCACUAAGAAAUUACUCGUCAUCCAGUUUUUUAUAUCGACUAUGUAUUCUGUUAGUUUUUCAAAUUGGUAUGUUUGGCCAAUCCCCAUUUCUAAAUUACCCCUUUAAAGCUAACCAAAGAACAAAAUUCAACAUUUUUUCGAUAAUUAUUGAUCUAGAGAGUCCACAGAAUAUUACAGCAGUGGUUUGGUUCCGAUCGGGCGAAAAACCUAGGACUAGUUCGCAAAAGUAUGUUUUUAACAUAUUUGUGAAUAAUUCAUGAACGAUUUGACUGACAGUAAUGGUUCUUGAGGCAAAGUUGUGCAUUAUGAGGAGAUCUAUCAAAUGAUAUCCAUAUUGCAUGCAUAUGUGAAACGCCACGUGAUUACAGAGCCAAAAAACUCGUUAGCGCCAACUAGUAGCCGAUUUCUUUCAAAAUUCUUACAGACCUUUAGGGCCAUGAGUCGAACAUGCCUACCAAGUUUCGUUCUGAUUGACCUCCGUUAACCUUGUCUAAUAAUAGCUCAAAUUUCAUUGGCCAAUGGCGGCCAUGUUUUUUGAGAUACGCCAAUGUCCUCAUAGAUAUUUGUGCCCCUUCAGACAAAGAAACUGCAUACCAAUUUUCAAGUCGAUCGGACCAACGGUUGCCUAGUUAUAGCCAUUUAUGUGUUUUUUCUGUCUUAUAGCGCCCCCAAGUGGCAGAGGUGCGCAAUUUUUAUUUGACCAAAAAAAUUGAGCUUAUACACAUGUGUACCAAGUUUGGUUAAGAUAUUUCAUUCCGUUCAAGAGUUAUAGCUAAAAUAACAUUUGGCUCACGUUAGCAUAGACGCUUUUUGGCGUACUGUUUCGCGUAAGAAUCGAAAUUUCAACUUUUUUUCGAUAAUUAUUGAUAUUGAGUGUCCAGAGAAUAUUUCUGCAGUGGUUUGCUUCUGAUCGGGUUAAAAUCCUAGGACUAGUUCGCAAAAGUAGGUUUCGGAUAUAACACAAUUUUGCGGAAAAACCGAUGCGCCGUAGAGCGAAAAAAGCAGCAGAGCAAUUUUGUUCGGGCUAACCCAAGGAUUGCAACGAUGCCAUGUUUUUGAGUCUACGACAAACGGUUUACGAGCUACAGCCAAAAAUGUCUAAAAUUUUUGUUUUUUGCGCUGUAGCGCCCCCGUUUGGCCGAUUGGGGCGAGACUUUGAUAGGUUCUCCCCAAAUUGAGCUCUACAAUCUGGCCAAAUUUCAAGUCUCUAGGCCUUACGGUUUGGUCUGCACGAUCAGUUUUUGGGCAGAAUAAUAAUAAUAAUAAUAAUAAUAAUAAUAAUAAUAAUAAUAAUAAUAAUAAUAAUCCUAACAAUUACAAGAGGGUUUCAGCACUGCGUGCUUGAACCCCUAAUAAUAAUCCUAACAAUUACAAGAGGGUUUCAGCACUGCGUGCUUGAACCCCUAAUAAUUCAAAUAAAAUAAACAAUAAUAUACUUUAAAUUAACUUGUAUUAUUCUGUACAUUAGUGCUUAUCCACAAAAUCCAUACACAGAAAAAGUUGAAGCAUAAUCAUCUUUGAUGGAUGAGAUCAACAUUUAAAUAUGAAAUGAUUUGUAAUUUUACAUUUUUAACUAGAAUGUACUUUAAAUAUAAAAAAAAAAUGCAAGUAAGAAGCAGCAGCAAUCAAUCUGAUUAAAUAUUUUAUAUAUAUAAAAAAAGAAUAAUAAUAUAAAGAACAGACCAAAUUAUAGCAAAGGAAUUAGACAGUUAUAUUGCAUAAUUACA
ensembl:lncRNA